GCUGGCAAGGUUAAGCGAUUCAGUCGCGCAGCCGAAGCGAAAGCAAGUCCGAACAAGGCGUACAGUCAGCGGGAGUAGACGCGAAACCAAGUGAUCUACCCUUGGUCAGGUUGAAGGUUGGGUAACACCAACUGGAGGACCGCACCGAUAAGCGUUGAAAAGCUUACGGAUGAACUGAGGGUAGGAGUGAAAGGCCAAUCAAACUUGGAGAUAGCUCGUACUCCCCGAAAUGCAUUUAGGUGCAGCCUCGAAGCAGAGUGAUAGAGGUAGAGCGACUGAUAAGAUGCGAGGGCUUCACCGCCUAUCAAGUCUUGACAAACUCCGAAUACUAUCACUUGAUCUUUGGGAGUGAGGGCAUGGGUGCUAAGGUCCAUGUCCGAAAGAGGAACAACUCAGACCACCAGCUAAGGUCCCGAAAUAAGGGCUAAGUUGAAUAAACGAAGUAAAACUGCAAAGACAGCUAGGAUGUUGGCUUGGAAGCAGCCAUUCAUUUAAAGAGUGCGUAACAGCUCACUAGUCGAGGAGUUUUGCAUGGAUAAUAAUCGGGCAUAAGCCCUUUACCGAAGCUGUGGAUGUCGUAAGACAUGGUAGGGGAGCAUUCCGGCGGCGACGAAGGCCGUCCUCGAGGACGACUGGAGCUUUCGGAAAAGCAAAUGUAGGUAUAAGUAACGAUAAAGGGGGCGUGAAACCCCCUCGCCAUAAGACUAAGGAUUCCUGAUCAACGCUAAUCGGAUCAGGGUAAGUCGGGCCCUAAGGCGCAGCCGAACGGCGUAGCCGAUGGAAGAAACGGUAAAGAUUCCGUUACUGGAUAUAGGAGCGAUGUGGAGACGGAGAAGUGACACACCCGCCUGCCGACGGAAGCGCAGGUUAAAGGAAGUAGGUAAACGCCGGGUAGGCAAAUCCGCCCAGCGUGCCGAAGCUGACAGUAUCGAGAGCCCCCGGGCAAUCGAAUAGCGGUGGUAAUCAGGCUCCCAAGAAAAUCCGCUAAGCAAAUUCUAUAUCCACCCGUACCCCAAACGGACACACGUAGUCGGGUAGAAUAUACCAAGGCGCUCGAAAGACUCACGGUUAAGGAACUAGGCAAAUUGACCCUGUAACCUCGGGAAAAAGGGUCCCCAGUAAGAUGGGGCGCAGAGAAUAGGUCCAGGCAACUGUUUAACAAAAACACAGGGCUGUGCAAAAUUUCAAGAUGAAGUAUACAGCCUGACACCUGCCCGGUGCCGGAAGGUUAAGAGGAGAGCUAAUCGCAAGAGAAGGCUUGAAUUGAAGCCCCGGUAAACGGCGGCCGUAACUAUAACGGUCCUAAGGUAGCGAAAUUCCUUGUCGGGUAAGUUCCGACCUGCACGAAUGGUGUAAUGAUCUGGACACUGUCUCAACCGUGACUUCGGUGAAAUUGUAGUAUCGGUGAAGAUGCCGAUUACCCGCAACGGGACGAAAAGACCCCGUGAACCUUUACUGCAACUUAGCAUUGCGUUUGGGCAUUUGAUGUGUAGGAUAGUCCGGAGGCUACGAGCCGGCGACGCCAGUCGUCGGGGAGCCGCUGUUGAAAUACGGACCUUCGAAUGUUUGAGCGCUAACUCGCAGGAGCGAGGACACUGUUUGGUGGGUAGUUUGACUGGGGUGGUCGCCUCCAAAAGCGUAACGGAGGCUUCUAAAGGUACCCUCAGACCGAUUGGUAACCGGUCGGAGAGUGUAAUGGCACAAGGGUGCUUGACUGAGAGACCCACAAGUCGAUCAGGUAGGAAACUAGAGCAUAGUGAUCCGGUGG
rnacentral:rRNA from 1 species